rnacentral:rRNA from 1 species
ACUCCUACGGGAGGCAGCAGUGAGGAAUAUUGGUCAAUGGAGGCAACUCUGAACCAGCCAUGCCGCGUGCAGGAUGACUGCCCUAUGGGUUGUAAACUGCUUUUAUACGGGGGAGAAAAUUGUCUACGUGUAGACAACUGACGGUACCGUAAGAAUAAGCACCGGCUAACUCCGUGCCAGCAGCCGCGGUAAUACGGAGGGUGCAAGCGUUAUCCGGAUUUAUUGGGUUUAAAGGGUCCGUAGGCGGGCUUAUAAGUCAGAGGUGAAAUCCCACAGCUUAACUGUGGAACUGCCUUUGAUACUGUAGGUCUUGAAUGUAUUUGAAGUAGGCGGAAUAUGUAGUGUAGCGGUGAAAUGCAUAGAUAUUACAUAGAACACCAAUUGCGAAGGCAGCUUACUAAAGAUAUAAUUGACGCUGAUGGACGAAAGCGUGGGUAGCGAACGGGAUUAGAUA